UACAGAGGUCCCAAGCGUUGUUCGGAUUCACUGGGCGUAAAGGGUGCGUAGGCGGUCGGGUAAGUCUGAUGUGAAAUCUCACAGCUUAACUGUGAAACUGCAUUGGAUACUAUCCGGCUCGAGGAAUGGAGGGGAGACUGGAAUACUUGGUGUAGCAGUGAAAUGCGUAGAUAUCAGGAGGAACACCGGUGGUGUAGACGGCUUUCUGGACCGUAACUGACGCUGAAACACGAAAGCGUGGGUAGCAAACAGG
rnacentral:rRNA from 1 species